rnacentral:ncRNA from 1 species
UAUGGUUUGGGGAGGAAGCUCGAUUUUUGCCAUUAUUCCUUGUGAUAAAAAUAAAGUUUGAUUCUAGCUUUUUCAUUAGCUUUUUAUAUUAAUUAUAUGUAAAUUUUUUAAUUAUUUUAUUUUCAGUAAUUUGAUUUUUAUUAAUAUUUAUUUAUUGUGAGGAAUUUAAUUAAUAUUUGAUUAAUUUUGUGCCAGCAUUCGCGGUUAAACAAUUAAAUUAUGUUAAUGUUUUUGUAUUUAACAAUUUUAUUAUUUUGAUUUUAUGUAGAUUUAUUUAGGUGGAAUUUGUAAGUUUAUUUUUAUUAUAAUUUUUUAUUGUUUUAAGUUUUAUAAUAAGACUAGGAUUAGAUACCCUAUUAUUUUUAAUCUAAUUAUUUUCAGAAUAUUAAUAGUUAUGUUCUAUAAAACUCAAAGAAUUUGGCGGUAAUUUAACUUUAUAGAGGAGCCUGUAAUUUAAUUGAUGAACCACAAUAUUUUCUACCAAAUAUUUAUUUGUAUACCGCUAUACUUUGAAGUGUUUUAUUGAGAAUUAUUUUUUAUAAUCUUUUGAUAUUAUAUUAGGUCAAGGUGCAGUUUUUAUUUGGUAAUUAUGUGCUACUUUUAUUUUAUAUAAAUUGGAUGUUUUUUUUUAAAAAUCUCUUGAAAUUGGAUUUGUAAGUAAUUUGAGUUAAUUAACUUUUUUGAAUUCAGCUCUAGAUUAUGUACAUAUCGCCCGUCACUCCCAAUGAUAUGGGAUAAGUCGUAACAAAGUAGUUGUACCGGAAGGUGUAGCUAGAAUGAU